GUGUCAGCAGCCGCGGUAAUACGGAGGGUGCUAGCGUUGUUCGGAAUUAUUGGGCGUAAAGAGCGUGUAGGCGGCCUCGUAAGUCAGAUGUGAAAGCCCUUGGCUUAACCAAGGAAGUGCAUUUGAAACUGCCUGGCUUGAGUACGGGAGGGGAAAGCGGAAUUCCCGGUGUAGAGGUGAAAUUCGUAGAUAUCGGGAGGAACACCGGUGGCGAAGGCGGCUUUCUGGACCGAUACUGACGCUGAGACGCGAAAGCGUGGGGAGCAAACAGGAUUAGAUACCCUGGUAGUCCACGCCGUAAACUUUGGGCACUAGGUGUUGCGGGUAUUGACCCCUGCAGUGCCGAAGCUAACGCAUUAAGUGCCCCGCCUGGGGAGUACGGUCGCAAGACUAAA
rnacentral:rRNA from 1 species